ACAUGCUAGGCAAGGGCUAUAGCACUCACCCCAGCACCAACCAAUCCCAUGCUUUAUAUAUUCCUAGCUAUCAACCUCCUUUCCUCUGCUCCCUUUGUCUUUACCCAGACACAACGCACCACCUAACAGUAUUGUAAUAAAUGUGUGAUAGGAAACUUGAAGAUUGAUUGCUUUGAUUUGCCAGACACUGUCUUCUUUUCUUUUGCCUUUUAACACUUGAAAGCCUUAGGCUGUCAGUGAGCCAGGUACAGCAACGCAAUUGGACAGCAGCCACAUGUUCAUCCCUCACUCUGCUUCCAACCAACAAAACAACCGUUGCAGGUGAUAGAGUUUGUCACGAGUCCACGGCUGGAUAUUCUGCUGCUCGGUGCCAGGCUUGGCUGAUCUUGGCAAGGCCUGUUCAAGCAUCUGUGCUUAGCUCACGGACCAGCUGGGGGCUGGCUGAUGUAGGAGAGCUUUGGCAUGUACAGCUUGGCUUUCCCUACAUGAUCUUUAGACUUCCAGCUCAAGCUUGCUCUUGUGGCAGUGGCCAAGAUCACGCAGAAGAACAACAGGAUGAAUGGCUGAGCUGCAUUUGUAAGGACUGCCAGCGUCCAGGCUCUGACUACCAACUGAGGAACAACACAAUAGGCAAAUUAAGGUUGAUUAAAACUGUCUAAGCUGAUUGGUUGUUGAGUGUGUGUAUUUGUGUUUGAAACCAACAAU